GGUUCAUUCAAAUUUCUGCCCUAUCAACUUUCGACGGCUGGGUCUUGGCAGCCGUGGUAACAACGGGUAACGGGGGGUAGGGCUCGACCCCGGAGAAGGAGCCUGAGAAACGGCUACUACAUCUAAGGAAGGCAGCAGGCGCGCAAAUUACCCAAUCCCGACCGGGGAGGUAGUGACGAUAAAUACCGAUACAGGGCUCUUUUGGGUCUUGUAAUUGGAAUGAGUACAAUUUAAAUCUCUUAACGAGGAACAAUUGGAGGGCAAGUCUGGUGCCAGCAGCCGGGUAAUUCCAGCUCCAAUAGCGUAUAUUAAAGUUGUGCGGUUAAAAAGCUCGUAGUUG
rnacentral:rRNA from 1 species